UAUUAAUACUGUAAAUGUACGAUGUCUCUAGUCUGGUCAAAGGGUCAGAGUGUCCUACUUAAUUAAACGAUAAAUUGUUGAAAUUAGAUAACAUGUUUUCACGUGCAGAGAAAUUUCACUUAUGACCAAUGCAUGAUUGGAUAUCAUCUUUCUUAUUGGUCAAUGAUCUUGCGAGUCAGUACGAGUUCACGUGUAAGUGUAUUGUGGUCACUUCCUUUUAUCAUCAGCAUUUGAUGUGUUAACUUGUGAUUCUUAUCAAACAAUUUGUUCAAAAUUAUAUGUGAUUUUGUUUUUUGUUUUAUGGAUAAUGUUGGACUGGAGUGAUUUCAUUUUAGCUAUUUCAGGUAAAAUCGAACUAUACUUUUAUUUUUAAGCUAUUCUAUGCUUACAUUUUGAACAAACGUACAGUUAAAUUUUUUUUAACCAUUCUUCCAUUCGGAUAGAACUCACGAUUUAGAUUUAUGCCAAACAUGAGCAGUUGGUCAAAUUCAUUUCUUUGUCAAAGAGAUAGUGGGUCAAAUUGAUUUUCAUGUGGGUGGCGACACUGUGCGUUUGCGAUCAAAAUGUAAUUAUUUAUCAUUUAUCUGAUGAUUAACCUGAUGCUGUAAUUUUACAGGUUACUGAAUCCUUUACAGCAUCAUUAUGUUUGCAGAACGUAUAUCCGCCUUAUUUUUUUGUAAGAUACAUGAAUCGUUUAAAUUUAACUACAAUUAAAAAUUGGAUUAUUGCAUAACGUUAAUAAUACCAUAUAU
rnacentral:lncRNA from 1 species